rnacentral:rRNA from 1 species
CCUACGGGAGGCAGCAGUGGGGAAUAUUGGUCAAUGUGGGGAACCCUGAUCCAGCGACGCCGCGUGAGUGAAGAAGUAUUUCUGUAUGUAAAGCUCUAUCAGCAGGGAAGUAAGAAAUGCCGGUACCUGACUAAGAAGCCCCGGCUAACUACGUGCCAGCAGCCGCGGUAAGACGUAGGGGGCAAGCGUUAUCCGGAUUUACUGGGUGUAAAGGGAGCGUAGACGGCGAUGCAAGUCAGAAGUGAAAGGAGGGGGCGCAAACUCCGGAUUGCAUUGGAAACUGUAUGGCUGGAGUGCAGGAGAGGUGAGUGGAAUUCCUAGUGUAGCGGUGAAAUGCGUAGAUAUUAGGAGGAACACCAGUGGCGAAGGCGGCUGACUGGACUGUAACUGACGUUGAGGCUCGAAAGCGUGGGGAGCAAACAGGAUUAGAUACCCCAGUAGUC